UACGAAGGGGGCUAGCGUUGCUCGGAAUGACUGGGCGUAAAGAGCUCGUAGGCGGUUCGGCAAGUCGGGUGUGAAAACUCCAGGCUCAACCUGGAGACGCCACCCGAUACUGCUGUGACUCGAGUCCGGUAGGGGACCACGGAAUUCCUGGUGUAGCGGUGAAAUGCGCAGAUAUCAGGAGGAACACCGGUGGCGAAGGCGGUGGUCUGGGCCGGUACUGACGCUGAGGAGCGAAAGCGUGGGGAGCGAACAGG
rnacentral:rRNA from 1 species